CUUAACACAUGCAAGUCGAGUGCGCGUCUGUAGCAAUACAGAUGGCGCACGGCGCACGGGUGCGUAACACGUGGGUAAUCUGCCCUUCGAAGGGGAAUAACUCGCCGAAAGGCGAGCUAAUUCCGCAUAACAUUCCGACAACC
rnacentral:rRNA from 1 species